CCUACGGGGAGCUGCAGUGAGGAAUAUUGGUCAAUGGGCGUAAGCCUGAACCAGCCAAGUCGCGUGAGGGAUGAAGGUUCUAUGGAUCGUAAACCUCUUUUAUAAGGGAAUAAAGUGUGGGACGUGUCCUGUUUUGUAUGUACCUUAUGAAUAAGGAUCGGCUAACUCCGUGCCAGCAGCCGCGGUAAUACGGAGAAUCCGAGCGUUAUGCGGCUUUGUUGGGUUUAAAGGGUGCGUAGGCGGCCUUUUAAGUCAUCGGUGAAAGUCUGUGGCUCAACCAUAGAAGUGCCGUUGAAACUGGGAGGCUUGAGUAUGUUUGAGGCAGGCGAGAUGCGUGGUGUAGCGGUGAAAGGCUUAGAUAUCACGCAGAACCCCGAUUGCGAAGGCAGCCUGCCAAGCCAUGACUGACGCGGAUGCACGAAAGCGUGGGGAUCAAACAGGAUUAGAUACCCGUGUAGUC
rnacentral:rRNA from 1 species